rnacentral:tRNA from 1 species
GUCUCGGUGGCGCAAUGGUAGCGCGUUGGACUUCUACUAACUGGGUUCUUCUUCCAAUUCGGUUAAUCCAAAGGCUGCGGGUUCGAGCCCCGCCCGAGAUGC